CCUACGGGAGGCAGCAGUGAGGAAUAUUGGUCAAUGGCCGGAAGGCUGAACCAGCCAUGCCGCGUGAAGGGCAGGGUCCUACGGGCGUUAAACUUCUUUUGUGCGGGAGCAAUAAUGGUCACGUGUGGCCAGACGAGAGUACCGUACGAAUAAGCAGCGGCCAACUCCGUGCCAGCAGCAGCGGUAAUACGGGGGAUGCAAGCGUUAUCCGGAGUUAUUGGGUUUAAAGGGUGCGUAGGCUGUGAGGUAAGUCAGCGGUGAAAUGCCCCCGCUCAACGGGGUGAAGUGCCAUUGAUACUGCCUUGCUGGAAUGCGGAUGCCGUGGGAGGAAUGUGUGGUGUAGCGGUGAAAUGCAUAGAUAUCACACAGAACACCGAUUGCGAAGGCAUCUCACGAAUCCGCGAUUGACGCUGAUGCACGAAAGCGUGGGUAUCAAACAGGAUUAGAUACCCCAGUAGUC
rnacentral:rRNA from 1 species